rnacentral:tRNA from 1 species
ACCUAGUUGGCUCAGUUGGUGGAGCAUGUGACUCUUGAUCUCAGAAUUGUGAGUUCAAGCCCUAGGCUGGGUG